AGGUCCGGGGAUUAUUCUUAUGCAAUGUUUAUUCAGGAAUAAUGUUAUAAAAUACAUUUCAAAUAGGAUGAACAGAAAUUCAGCACACUGAGUGUAUCAUGUAAAAUAGGAUUAAAUCAAUCAACUCAAAAAUCACACCAUUAAAAUCAAACACCAUGGAAAAGAAAAAACAAUGAAAUCUCUUUAGCUUGCUCUGGCCUCCAUAAGAAGUUAUAUAGGGACAAAUUGUAUUUAAACAUAUUUCUUUUCCUUUUUUCAAUUUAUAUAUUUUCAGAAAAUAGGCACACUGUUUUAUUUUCUUUUUUGACUUUGACCAGUUUUGAAAAAUGAACAAUUCACAGUGUCAUUUACAUUUCUUGUCAAACACUUUCUCUUUCUGAGGCUUUUUAUUGGACAGUAUAGAGUAGGAGUAACCUGCUCUGAAUCAUGGUCUAUAAAUGUACACCUCCUGGGUGAAGGGCAUUUAAAAAAUCAACCACCUCUACAAUAAAGCGGGUGAAUUAACAACAUCCCUCAAGCCAAAUCAUCCAUCCACAUCAAACUGUGGUGGGAGUAAUUAUAAGGCCUCUUUGGUGUCCUUGAAAGACCUGUUGGAGUGAGUAGAGUUAAAUGUGGAUCUGAGCUCCACUCCCUGUCCAUGUGUCUAACAAUGUUUGGCAUAACAGGAGCUGUUUGUACUGGACUUUUAAUAGAUAAAUGUGAAGGCUUCUUUUAUCCCACACAUUCUGCUCUCCUCCCAGUUCCAUCACAUCACUGUAACAUUGCAUGGCGUGACCAUGCCAUUACGUGACCUGUGACCUAGAUGCAAGACUGGCACACCUCAUAGGGCCAGGUUCGAUCAUUUAAGCAUAUAAGUUAAAGAGAGAGGCCAUGUCAUACACGUGGCACAUCUAUAAGAGUGAGCUAUAAUAUCCUUUAAUGCAUUUCUCAGUCUAAAACACGCACAUCCUAUACAUUCACAAUGCACCCCUUGUGUAUUCAUUUGUGCUAGAUGUAGGUUAUCAUUGUCUGUUGUUAGAACACUUUGCUCAUAUGACCCUAUGGAGCCUGGUGGAGAUGGUGUCAGGUUGGAGCGAUUAGCAGCCAGUAGGUGGCGCUGUACUCCUAAGGCUUGAGUCCUGCCUGCUCCUUGCCCUGAGAGAGCUGUGUUCUGUGACAAUAGGGCUUUUAUGCAGAACAGGCCACUCUCUGCACUGCUCCAGAGUCCUGUUUCUUUUAAUCCCCAUUUGACCUUUGGGCACUGGAGUCACUUUCACGUUUUUCAUGUACCUGAUUUCUGUUACCAAAAGCUGCAGCGAGGAACCUGGACACUGUGACAACCUUUUUUUUUUACAGAGAACGAUUUGAUUUGCUGUGGUGUGUGAGCUCCACUGACAGAGAGCAAUGCACCCUGUCUGGUGUAAUAUUCCAGUGAUCAAUCACUGCUGCAGGUACACCACGCACACACACGCGCACACACACACACACGCACACACAUGCACACGCACGCACACACACACACACACACACACACACACACACAUACACAAAGAAAAUAAAGAAAAAAAAAAGAUUUAUGUACAUAACCUUUUGCAAUGCAAAAUAACUGUUGACAACAUUAACACACAGCUUGCUUAAUCAUUACUGACACAUAUACACAAACUAUUUUUCAUUUAGAAGAAAAAUUGCCACAGAGUUUCUGUAUUCAAUUGUUUGAAAGAUCUGUGAAGCAAUUUGCUUUAGAGCUCAAUCAAAAACUUACCACACACACACACACACACACACACACACACACACACAGUCGAACUGCUUUGAAAACAAACAAGACAUUCAGUUCCACUACAAUCUACCUUUCGUCUGAACAUACAGUUAAACAUUAAAACACACACACACACACACACACACACACACACACACACACACACACACACACAUGUACACAGGCACAAGAAAAAAUGUCCAUGCGUUAAACUCCUGCAGCUCACACAAAACUAUUUUUUAUUUAUUAAUUAAUUAAUGAAAUUUUCAAACACCAUUUAUUAAUGAAUGAAUCAAAUUUUCAAACACCAGAACCUCCAACUCUAUAAACCUACACAUGCUUGAAAUAUUUAGCUAAUUUGAAAUCGUGAGUUCAUUUUUCCAGUGUGUGUACACUUUGUGUGCUACAGCAAUAAUUAUGUUUUAGAUGUUUAUGUUAAUAAAUAUCCUUAACUUCCAGAAAUAACUAGAUAAAUAUUGUUUGUAUACAGUUUGUGCUGUUAAAUCGUUACUUUAAUUUCAUGUCUCACUGUUCCUUUAAAAAAAAAUUAAUUCUGGACUGAACACAAGACACGUCUUCUGUCUAGACUUGGUAUGGAUGAGUGUCUUUACAGGCAGUUGGGGGGGGGGGGGGUAAACCCUUUAGUCUCAUAUGCACACAUUAAAGGCGUGGGAAUUUCAUUCAGGGCUGAACUAGAGUCCUCUUGUGGGGCACAUGGCAAGUGUGUUUAGGUGUAUGUGAGUGUGUGUGUGUCUUUAUGUGACAGUCAUGGAGUGUGUUUUGCAAUUUUGGGAAUAUGCACACAUUUUAACCAGACACACACACAGGUGACAUGUCAUAAUAUUCUACAGAAAUACCCCAGAUAAAUGUAAAAAUUUAAUGGUUCACAAGACACAACAUAAAUCAUAAUGCCAAAAUACAAGAAACACAUUAUAUUUCAUAAUUUCAAUGGGUUAAGGGUUUAACCUCAAGCUUUAAUCAUGUACCAACUGCCCUUUCCGUUUACAUGAUGCCACCUGCAAUGUGUCUUUACCAUACAACAUUUCUGGAACACUCCAUUCACUACAGAAAAAACAGAGUAGAUCGGUAGAUCGGGAAUGGAUGGGUGGGGUGGGUGGGGGGAGUUCACUGCCAACUCAAUAUGGCACUUAUGAGCCAAAACACUUCAAAACCCCCCACUCAGAGUUUAAUCUGUCAUUUGUCCAGCAGUAAACUACCUAUAAUAAAGCAACUCAGGUGAAGCAGACCUGCUGAACUACUUGCCUAUAUAUUUUAAUUUAAUUGCAUUUACAGGGAGAAAUGUUGCCCUCACAACUGCACCACCACCUAUACAUUUUGAACACAAUUUCUGAUUGUUUUGUUGAGUACACAUGUGAAAGAACAAAUGAUUAGAUCUACAAAAGGCACUUUCUGUGUGUGUGUGUGUGUGUGU
ensembl:lncRNA